GAUAAUGAGCAAACAGUCAAGCCAGCUGAUCCCAGGCCUUCAGACACUUUUGUUAAGUGACAGUUGUAAUUGGAACUCUGCUUUUCCAGGCCUGCAAUCUGGAGUGUUGCUUUCUCCAAUUAACUGAUCCAAGACUUGGAACUUCCCGAG